AUUGAACGCUGGCGGCAGGCUUAACACAUGCAAGUCGAGCGAGCGGCGGACGGGUGAGUAAUGUAUGGGGAUCUGCCUGAUGGAGGGGGAUAACUACUGGAAACGGUAGCUAAUACCGCAUACCAUCAGAUGACCCCAUAUGGGAUUAGCUUGUAGGUGAGGUAACGGCUCACCUAGGCGACGAUCCCUAGCUGGUCUGAGAGGAUGAUCAGCCACACUGGAACUGAGACACGGCCCAGACUCCUACGGGAGGCAGCAGUGGGGAAUAUUGCACAAUGGGCGCAAGCCUGAUGCAGCCAUGCCGCGUGUGUGAAGAAGGCCUUCGGGUUGUAAAGUACUUUCAGCCGGGAGGCGUUACCCACAGAAGAAGCACCGGCUAACUCCGUGCCAGCAGCCGCGGUAAUAC
rnacentral:rRNA from 1 species